ACAAAAUGUAGCUUAACUAAAGCAUCUCGCUUACACCGAGAUCAUGUCCGUGAAACUCAGAUCAUUUUGA
rnacentral:tRNA from 2 species